UAGGGAAUCUUCGGCAAUGGGGGGAACCCUGACCGAGCAACGCCGCGUGAGUGAAGAAGGUUUUCGGAUCGUAAAGCUCUGUUGUUAAGGAAGUACGAGUGUGAGAAUGGAAAGUUCAUGCUGUGACGGUACUUAACCAGAAAGGGACGGCUAACUACGUGCCAGCAGCCGCGGUAAUACGUAGGUCCCGAGCGUUGUCCGGAUUUAUUGGGCGUAAAGCGAGCGCAGGCGGUUAGAAAAGUCUGAAGUGAAAGGCAGUGGCUCAACCAUUGUAGGCUUUGGAAACUGUUUAAGUUGAGUGCGGAAGGGGAGGGUGGAAUUCCAUGUGUAGCGGUGAAAUGCGUAGAUAUAUGGAGGAACACCGGUGGCGAGAGCGGCUCUCUGGUCUGUAACUGACGCAGAGGCUCGAAAGCGUGGGGAGCGAACAGG
rnacentral:rRNA from 1 species